ACCUGAGUUUGACCCUGAGGCACUCAUACCGCCAGCUUGUUUAGAAUGCUAGCCGCAUGAGUGCCUCAUGCAGCGGUAUCGCCGGUAUGAGUGUUUCAGGGUCAAGCUUCGGU
rfam:Triticum aestivum genome assembly, contig: Triticum_aestivum_CS42_TGACv1_scaffold_470864_6AL